rnacentral:rRNA from 1 species
GGCUUAAUUCGAUGCAACGCGAAGAACCUUAUCCAGGCCUUGACAUCCCCGGAAUCCCUUAGAAAUAGGGGAGUGCCUUCGGGAGCCGGGUGACAGGUGGUGCAUGGCUGUCGUCAGCUCGUGCCGUGAGGUGUUGGGUUAAGUCCCGCAACGAGCGCAACCCUCAUCGCCAGUUGCCAGCACGUAAUGGUGGGGACUCUGGCGAAACUGCCCGAGUAAUCGGGA